CCCCUGAUAGCUCAGUUGGUAAAGAAUCUGCAUGCAAUGCAGGAGACCCGGGUUCGAUUCCUGGGUGGGGAA
rnacentral:tRNA from 1 species